CUACGGGAGGCUGCAGUGGGGAAUAUUGGACAAUGGGCGAAAGCCUGAUCCAGCCAUGCCGCGUGUGUGAAGAAGGCCUUCGGGGUGUAAAGCACUUUCAGUGGGGAAGAAAGCCUUGGGGCUAAUACCCUCGAGGAAGGACAUCACCCACAGAAGAAGCACCGGCUAACUCCGUGCCAGCAGCCGCGGUAAUACGGAGGGUGCGAGCGUUAAUCGGAAUUACUGGGCGUAAAGCGCGCGUAGGCGGUCUGAUAAGCCGGUUGUGAAAGCCCCGGGCUCAACCUGGGAACGGCAUCCGGAACUGUCAGGCUAGAGUGCAGGAGAGGAAGGUAGAAUUCCCGGUGGAGCGGUGAAAUGCGUAGAGAUCGGGAGGAAUACCAGUGGCGAAGGCGGCCUUCUGGACUGACACUGACGCUGAGGUGCGAAAGCGUGGGUAGCAAACAGGAUUAGAUACCCUUGUAGUC
rnacentral:rRNA from 1 species